AAAAAUGCGCAGUAAUAAUGGAAUUUGAGCUUUUCAAGUGCAAUAAACUUCGCUUGAUGAGGUAACGUGUGUAAUGAGUACAUCAUGUCCAUGUUUUCAUUCGCUCAGCCUUGCGUUUUGAUCCAUCCACUCAAAACGCGCCGUUUAUGAACUUCCUCAACUUGUCCAAGGUCACUAACUCGCAGACGGGUUGACUGGCGAUGCCCAUUUUUUGAAUACAUACUUUCGUCCAUACUCAGCGCAGCUCCCGAGGCUGCUACGUGAGCCUUCAGUUCUGUAUUACUACUUAGUUUUAGUUUAAAAUUGAGGAAGGAAUGCAGCACUCCUGGUCAUGAUUCUGCUUUUGAAUUUCUUGUCAAAGUAGUGGCUGUUUCAAACCAUCUGAAAGAUAUCUAAAUUUGGAUCGACCACAUCAUGAAGCUGGAGUGCGUGGCGCUGGAGGAGGGCGCGGGGGGUGCGGGGGAGUUGGUCCGCGCGUGCGCCCGCUGCCGCGCCGAGCUCGGGCGCAUCAUCAACCGCGGCGCCCUCUGCAAGAUGUGCAAGCUCCGCGUCUGCAAGUCCUGCCGCGAGUACUUCACCGCUGCCACCACUGCGCCCACCGAGUGGCUCUGCACGGCCUGCUACAAGAACAAUGAAUUUCAAAUUGCUGAUUCUGACUGGAUUUCUGAUUAUGUUCGAUGCUCAGCUCCAAGACUUCUUGCAGGGAGCAGAAUAAGUAACAUUCAUAGUAUAAAAAAUUGUGUGCAGCGAUCCUUCACAUUUUCAGAUACAAAACCAUCUCGAUGGGCAGCCUUACGUGGAUCCCCGAGUUGCGCGCGUACAGCAGCAUGCCUCGCCAUCAGGAUGGUGACUAUGCCCCAUCAGUUUUUAGACGAAGAAACAAUGCAGCGUGAUCAAAGCAGAAAACGAACAAAUCAAACCCGAGCUGACUGUAAAACAAUGUAUGUUAUGUCUGCAGCACAGCAUAACCACUUCUUUUUAUUGUGUUUUAUCCAAAAACCACUGUUUUUAUCCUAAACUCUCUUAGCAUGAUCAAAGAGAGAUUGAAAGGGAAGAGGAGGGGAAGAUUGAAGGGUGUUGUAGGUUAAAAUAGUUCAAAUGAACCUCUAGAUUGCAUCAGAGCUUACGCUUUUUACUCUUUUAUGAUACAAUAUGAUGUUUUGUGUAGUGCCCAAAACUUAUUUUAAUAAACUCAAAGCUUCCUCUCACCCAUAUCAGGGGUGGAGUGUACACUACAUAAGCGAAGGGAAGCUCUGAGUCUAUAAAGAACGAGUUUUUAACGUAAUAUCAUAAACCUCUAUUGUUUCAAAAUUUAAGCCUUUUUUCCUAGUUAUGAUGUUUUGUGCCUAAAAUUGUGUCAUCAUGGUAUUUCAUUAGGCAGAGAAAUAUUUCCAUUACCAGCAGGUUUCUGUUCUGAGCGUGCCAUUUACUUGCAUUUUCCUCAGUGAACCCUGGAAAAGAUUUCUAUUUAGAGCGGUUUUUGUCACAAGAACGACUGGUGAUGACCAGAUUUCACUGUAGCAAAUUAAUCUUACUGGGCUUGAUAGUCAAUCGGUCAUGCAGGAAAAUUUGAGUGAUUGUUCCUAAUGCAAACUAUAAAGGCAAAGAAUACGAGUAUGAGUUGAUUUUGGUUACUUUAUUGUGUCCAUCAUGUUCGGCAUGAAGUUCUGAUGAGAAUUAGAAUGACUGUCUGCCAAAACACCCGAUAGUAAUCCAGUUUUGGCGAUUUAGAGUUGCUAAUGAAGUGACACUGGUGAAGAGCCUCUCUAUAAGUGUACUAAAGGGAAAACAAGCAGUGCUCUAAUACACACAUAUUAGAGCCUACAGCUUGCUCUUUCCUCAGCACAUGUUCAGCAGAAGCAGAAGAAUCAUGACACUAAUAACUCCAUAUCUCCAAAAAUAGAUUAUGGUUGUUUUUACUAACAGCCAGUCGAUUAUAGUACUUGCCACAACAAGUAGCAGCUGAGGAGCGUAGCCAAAGGACCACCUCAGUAUAUUGCCCAGUGAUUGAAACACAGGAAUUGUUUCCUACAAAUAGCCUCAGCUGAAUAGAGCAAAAACCCGUAAUUUACGAGUGAUUCUGACCCUAGGCCAUCAAUUUUUUAUGGCAAGGACUAAAAACUUGGUGGUUCUUUCAUUGUCACUUUGCUCAAUGGUCUGUUUUGCUCUAUUGCCAGGUAGUAAUUAGUCUUCCGCCAAAUUUAUUCGCUACUUGAGCAGGAAUUGUCUUUUGAAGAAAACAGCUCAAACAUUACAAUGAACUCAUUACCAAGAUGAAAGUUGACUCCUAAUCUCACAAUCUGGGCAAGAUACUUGUGCAAGUUUAAGCAGCUUCCCCCUUCAAACAGUAUAUGACUGCAAAGAAAAAAUUGUAUACAAAUGGGUUGACUCAGUUUCACCAUUCUGCUCAAAAUUCAAAAUGACUUAGGACUUUGCGUUUGAUGCAGCUCCUAAAAUUAAAAUAAACAACGAAAUUGCUUCUUUUCAUGAAAUGCCAUCUGAAUAGCAGGAAAAUGAAGGUGGUGAACCAAAGGUAUUUUUUAAUGGAGAAGCUGCAUCACAUAUUAUGUAGUUGCAAUUUUGAGUUUCACGUGGAUUUGUGAGACCAGGUUUACUCAUCUGUAUCAAAUUAUGUCUCUAUUGGAGUAUACUAGUUUAAGGAAGAUACUCAAGUUAGCUAAUUUCUUGCAUAUUGUAAAGUGAGGAUUGCAUUUUAGACUUAGUCUAUGUGUUCAUUGUGAUUUAUUUUAACAAUUUUAUGUAAGCAACUGCUCUUAUAUUUAUUUUAACUGAAGGUUUCAACAGACCUAUUUGUAUCCGUUCCAAGACAGACUUUAAAAGGCAUAUCGGUAUCAUAGACCCUUGUAGACACAUGCAUAAAUGUGCAAGGUGCAAAGAAAUUAAUUUUGCAAAAAGGAACCACGAACUAGUGGAAAAACAAGGCUUCCACAGCUUUGUCUUUGAAAAAAAUCAAUGGAAUUAAAAGUGUCGAUGCCAUUAAAUCAGCUGAAAUUUAAUCCCUCAAAGAAGAAGUAUUACUUCAUGUAUGGAGGAGCGGUAGAUGACCAUUUAUUGGACAGAGUCAUGGUGGCAUUGGUCAUAAAUACCUGUUCGAGUUGGGUGGACGAACUUAAACUUUUAAAUUUAGAGAUUUGUAAGUGAGAGUUAAGUCUGCAAAAGUGACUUCAAUGGACAGUAAUUUCAACAUAAGCAGAUCUAUUGUCUAGAAAAUCAAGGUUCUUUCUGUAUGUUUUUUAUUUGAGGUGUUAGUAUGUCACUUAAUCUUUUUAAAUUGUGCAAGAUUUAAAGUGGUCUUUCUUAAUCAAAGAUGGUUUUAUGACCUAAUGGUAGUAGGUUGAACAGUUGAGUGGAUUUUUAUCAGACCCUGAUUAAUUUUUACUCCUGAUGCAGUCAUAGCUUAGUGUGUUCAACAGGCUGCGUAACAUGAACAUCUUUCCUAGAUAUAUGUUGCUGGAAUAGGGUAAAAAAAAGUUUGGAUAAAACAGUUGCCUUGUUUGUCAGCAUAUGAAAUUCUGUGAAAUGGAGACGUUUUCCAAUGUGACAUUUGUCCAAUCUCUUCUCUCCCUAACCUUUGUGAGAAAAUCUCUGCAAUUCACGGUAUUUUUUCUUUGCAUUGUAUUGUGAUUGUCUGUGAUUAUCAAUCUUUAGUAUAGUCUAUUACCAUCAUUAUUUAUAGCUAUAUCAAGAAAAGAAUAAG
rnacentral:lncRNA from 1 species